UACGUAGGUGGCAAGCGUUGUCCGGAAUUAUUGGGCGUAAAGCGCGCGCAGGCGGUUCGAGAAGUCCAUGGUGAAAGCGCCUGGCUUAACUAGGCGAGUGCCGUGGGGACUGACGAGCUGGAGGGGAGCAGAGGCGAGUGGAAUUCCGGGUGUAGUGGUGAAAUGCGUAGAGAUCCGGAGGAACACCAGUGGCGAAGGCGGCUCGCUGGGCUUUACCUGACGCUGAGGCGCGAAAGCGUGGGGAGCGAACCG
rnacentral:rRNA from 1 species